GGUCCAGUGGUGUAGUGGUUAUCACGUCUGCUUUACACGCAGAAGGUCUCCGGUUCGAACCCGGGCUGGAUCA
rfam:Echinostoma caproni strain Egypt genome assembly, scaffold: ECPE_scaffold0001333